AACGAACGCUGGCGGCAUGCCUAACACAUGCAAGUCGAACGAGACCUUCGGGUCUAGUUGCGCACGGGUGCGUAACGCGUGGGAACCUGCCCUUAGGUUCGGAAUAACUCCCCGAAAGGUGUGCUAAUACCGGAUAAUGUCUUCGGACCAAAGAUUUAUCGCCUUUGGAUGGGCCCGCGUUGGAUUAGCUAGUUGGUAGGGUAAAAGCCUACCAAGGAGACGAUCCAUAGCUGGUCUGAGAGGAUGAUCAGCCACACUGGGACUGAGACACGGCCCAGACUCCUACGGGAGGCAGCAGUGGGGAAUAUUGGAGAAUGGGCGAAAGCCUGAUCCAGCAAUGCCGCGUGAGUGAUGGAGGCCUUAGGGUUGUAAAGCUCUUUUACACGGGAUGAUAAUGACAGUACCGGGAGAAUAAGCUCCGGCUAACUCCGUG
rnacentral:rRNA from 1 species